rnacentral:rRNA from 1 species
GACGAACGCUGGCGGCGUGCCUAACACAUGCAAGUCGAACGGAAAGGCCCUGCUUUUGUGGGGUGCUCGAGUGGCGAACGGGUGAGUAACACGUGAGUAACCUGCCCUUGACUUUGGGAUAACUUCAGGAAACUGGGGCUAAUACCGGAUAGGAGCUCCUGCUGCAUGGUGGGGGUUGGAAAGUUUCGGCGGUUGGGGAUGGACUCGCGGCUUAUCAGCUUGUUGGUGGGGUAGUGGCUGACCAAGGCUUUGACGGGUAGCCGGCCUGAGAGGGUGACCGGCGACAAGAGGACUGCGGUAGGGACCAGACGCCUACGGUGGGCAGCAGUGGGGAGCAUUGCACAGUGGGCGGAAGUGUGAUGCAGCGACGCCGCGUGCGGGAUGACGGCCUGCGGGGUGUGAACCGCUUUCGCCUGAGACGAAGCGGGAGUGACGGUACUGGGUAAAGAAGCACCGGCUAACUACGUG